GGGCAACUAUAAUUUUAUUUUUAAAAAAAUAAUGUUACAUAUUUCCUCAGCUGGAUGUUACAUAACAUAAAUAAUGAUAUCUUUAAAAGAAAAAUCCAAUUACAAGCAAUUAAAUAAUGUUAACUACUAAUAAAAUAUUGCUAAAUAAAGUUUAGCUCCUUGUUCUUAGAAAUGGCAUCACGACUGUCCAUUGUGGAAAAGCUAGUGACAACUCAAAUAUCAAAAAUCUGAAAGUUAUGAUUCAGCAGAUCAUCAAUCAUCACAGAGAUCAAUAAUUAUAUGGCCAAAGGCAAUACUUGGAACUCCAAAUGGUAGCAGUACAUUAGCACAAAAUUCAAUUAGAGUCUUCCAUUUGUGCAAUGCAAACAAUUAUAGGAGCUUGCAGCAGUGUAGUAUCCAUAGAAAGCAGGGCAUUAGAAAUAGCUCAUAAACUUUGGCAUCCAUAAUUUUUAACACAUUUUCUACACCUAACUCUACUUACUAUUCAUACGAGAAAGACGAGUCCUUCAAGCAUAAUAUGCUUGUAAUUUGCAGCCUGUAUUUUGCAGAUAUUAACUAGUAAAAUCUAAAAAUAGUGACAUGCUCCAAAAAGCCGAAGCCAAUGCAAUAAGAUAAUUAGCACCCUAAUCAACGCUUAGCAUAAAAAUGCGACAUCUAACGCACACAGUGCAUAAGAAAAACACACAUACGCACACACAUACUUAUCUAUCAUAAAAAAUGCCUCUCAAAGACAACAGCAAAAUAGAAAAUAAUGGAGACAAUGGUAAUGCAUCAAUAAUGUUCAUAAAAUUAUGCAUUUGUAGUAUGUUUAGUUCUUCUUGGGUGGGAUUCCCCGUUCAGUAUUUAUUACAAUCCAUCGUACUCAACCAGCACAAACUAACAAAUAUCUAGAGCCUGGUUGCUCUAGCCACCAUCAUUUAUUAACUAUAAUUUGUCAGAAUAAUACAAUGAUUUCCAGUGAAGAACUUCUUAACGACUUAUUUGAGGAAACAAUAAAUUAAAUAACAAAGGGAGAUACCGAAAGAUGACAAGAUAGUAGCACGAAUAAUAACUUUUCUUGGAAUGUAACAGUUCCGAACUUGUUGUCAAUCAAACAGCUAUAUCUUCUCAUCUUAGUAUUUUUAAGGAAGUUUUGCAGCGAUAGCUCAAAUCACAAUGUUUCCACAGUAUAAAGCGAUGACAUAUACUUAUUGCUAUGCAUUCACAAUUGAUAUGCUUAAAUCUAGUACAUAUUACAAUACCUUAACAGAGAAAAUCUCCAUAAGAGCAUACCAAGUUCCUGAAACUGCAAGAACAACACCUACAGUCAAGAUCCCCACAUCAAUACACCAUCCUUUUAAGUCCAUUUCUUCCUUAAAUACGAGCAGGUGAAAUAGAGCUGGCAAAACAAAUCCCAGUCCACAACAUACACUACUUCCCACCAAGGACAUGAAAUCAGCAAAAUUUGGCACCAAUAAGGCCACCAAACUCACAGCUAAAACCAACACCCAUCUAAGCCACAAACAAUAUGUCCCACCCCAAAACCUUCUCUCUGCUAUCUCAUAGACUGGGUUCAUCAUCAAGGGAAAUGUGAAAAAAAGAUUAAUACAAAGACCAAGUUGAACCAAACUACUAAUCAGUCCAGCACCCAAGUUAGCAGUAAUAAUAUCUUUAGUUUCAUCGCCAAAAGCAAAGUAACCCAGCACACCAAAAGAUCCAUAAAGCAAUGAAAUAAAGGCCAUGCUUAACCCUACGGUUCUCCCAAAUUUUUCCUUCUCUUUCAUUUCUGACUCUAUAGGCAAAACCAUACCAAUCCCUUCAAAUGCGUAAACAGCCACCCCCAUCCCGUAGAAAAACACAGACGUACCCCCAAAAGCCCUUACCUCCGGCCUGUUUCUCAUCAUUAGCAAAACAUCCUCCACCAUGACCACACCCAUCGCACCAAGAUCAACAAUAUCAGCAAAUAUACUCAAAGGUGCUAAAUGGGUCAAAGUAGCAACAGAAUUUAACACCAAUUGGAACGGGAAACAACCCCAUAUGUAAAAACUCUUGGCAGACAAUCCCAUGAUUUGGGAAGUUAAGCUCUGAGACGAUGAUGAAUUGAAUAAAUUCACCAAAGUAUUUGCAAUAAAAAUUAAAUAACCAACACAAAAUCCAGCCUGAGACAAGACAAUCAUGAUAUCCACAACUAACCUCCCAAUAGAACCACAAACCGUGAAACCCAGAUCGCCAAAAGAGUUGAUAUUGGAGAAAUCAGAAGAAAAAGAUUGGAGCUUGCGCCGUGUGUGGACUAAAAGCAUCAUACAGUAGUGGGUCAAGGCGGCAACAGAAAAGAGCAUGAUGAGGCUCAUGAUCCAUCCGGUGCGUUUGAAAGCAUAAGGAAGACCAAGAACGCCAGCGCCUACGAUGGCAAUGAAGACAUUGGCAAAGGUCUUGGACUGGGACGAUAGAGGCUUGUCCUUGCCUAUGAGAGGCGUGUCUUCUGUUGGCCGGGCUUUCAGGGCGUUUGAGGAUGAUGAUGCUUGUUUGUUUUCAAAUCCCAUGAUUUAUGUUACUGUUUAUCUUCCAAAAAAGAAGAAGAAGAAGAAGCAAACGAGAUUAAACUUUACAAAGAGAACAUCACAAAAGAUAGAACAUGGAAAUGGAUGCACGAGGGAGAAGAAGAGAGAGGAUUCUGUUUUUCUAUCUUGGGGGACGUCAAAGGUUUCAUUGUAUUUUUUGAUGAUUU
rnacentral:misc_RNA from 1 species